ACUCCAGUGACUGCCUCUCAGAAAAGAACAGGGCAAUGUCCAUUCUCCUUUUAUUUUCUUUAAGCACCUGAUCAUUCUAAAAGCAUGUGUUCCUCUGUGUGUGUGAGUUAUGUACAUGUGUGUGUGUUUCCCUUUCUUUUCUCGGACUCCAGGCUCAUGACUGCUUAUUUGCAUGGUGUUUCGGUGUCAAAGGAGUGUCAAAUGUCUUCUCCACAUACCCAGCUUUAUUCUACUCUAGGAGUUUAACUUCUUCAACAUUGUUGUGGGGUCCCUGGUGACCUCAGUUUCUCCUCUCCGCAUCAUCCAGGACUUCACCUGAAGCUUGAGCUACAUGUAAGGCUUCAUAUACCUUGGACAGGGCAAUGGAGAGAGGAUGGCAUACCAGAAUCACCAGAUGACAGACAUCGGGGUGCCGUUGGACCCGGGAAUCAGAAUCUCUGCAGAUAGGUAUUUUGGAAGGUGCUCCCUAGAUUGGCAUCUCUGAUUCCUGCAAGUAGACUGACAGCUGCAUGUUUGCAGGAAAGUUAAAUAUUUUGACAGCGCAGAAGACUGCUGCAUCUGGAGGGUUCUGGGUCCAGCUAUAACCAGACUUGCCUGUCCUAAACAAGUGGAUUGACUGCUUCCGGCGUCCUCACUUUACUUCUGCAUGGUGACCAACAUCCGGAGCUUAAUUACCUGACAGCCAGGAGAUAACAAAAAUGUCACGCCUGAGUCCUUGACAGCAACUCCAGAGGAGCUCCAGGUUUGAGGCAGCGCUGGCAGGACGUGGUAUAUCUGCCAUCUGAAGCCCUUCAUUGCCCGCCUGGCUGUGAAUCUCACCUCCUCUGUAGUGGAAAACAGGCCGAACAGACCUGGCAGGCAGGUAAGGGACAGCAAACCUUGCAGGGAGGGCCUAGUGCUGAAGCUAAGCCAGCCCUUUGAGUUCAAGCUCAAAGGCAUGUGAUGCCAGCUUUGCAGGGGAGCUAAGAUUCUUCCGAGAAAAAGGAGAAUGAGAGAGAGAUACGCAGCUGCAGUGGAGGACUUGGAAGAGAACAACGCCAGGGCCUGGAUCCUGCAAGAAUCUCCUCUGGAAAAGCAGGGGAGAGAAAAGCAGGAAGGAACAGGGUCACCGCAAGUGUGGGAUUUGUCUUAUUAAAAUCUGAUACUGUGUGGCAGUUUGCUUCACUCUUGGUAUAAGAAGUCUGAGCUCCAUGUUAAAGUAAAUGUAAGUAAUAUAAAUCUGCCUUUCCCGAGGUGAAAAUAGAUCCAUAUUAUUUAAAAUAUGAACGGAGAUAGAUGACAGUUACAAACAUUAUACUUGUUCUUAUUAUAAUUCUUAGUAAGCUCAAGGAAUAAAAACUGGGAUGAUGAAAAAGAA